rnacentral:rRNA from 1 species
GACGAACGCUGGCGGCGUGCCUAAUACAUGCAAGUCGAACGCAGUGGGGACGGGUGAGUAACACGUGGGUAACCUCCCAUCAGAGGGGAUAACACUUGGAAACAGGUGCUAAACCGAUAUUGAUGUAUGGACCCGCGGUGCAUUAGCUAGUUGGUGAGGUAACGGCUAACCAGGGCCACGAUGCAUAGCCGACCUGAGAGGGGGAUCGGCCACACUGGGACUGGGACACGGCCCAUACUCGUACGGUAGGCAGAAGUAGGGAAGCUUCGGCAAUGGACGAAAGUCUGACCGAGCAACGCCGCGUGAGUGAAGAAGGUUUUCGGAUCGUAAAACUCUGGUGUUAGAGAAGCGGUAUCUAACAAGAAAGCCACGGCUAACUACGUGCCAGCCGCCGCGGUAAGUG